rnacentral:lncRNA from 10 species
UGCCCUCAUAAAAGUAAUUUAUGUUGGGAGGCUGAGGAUCACUUUAGAAGGACAUCAGUCCUAUUAGAUUAGGGUUCUACCCUAUGACCUCAUUUCACCUUCAUUACCUCUUUAAAGGCUCUGUCUCAAAAAUAUAAUCACAUUGGGGUUAGGACUUCAAUAUAUGAAUUUGGGGGAAACCAAGUAGUCCACAACACUGGAUUUCUAAAUUAUUUUAAGCAAUACUUAGUAAUAUUUCAGCUGAAGGUAGCUAUAGAUGAAAAAAAUAUUGCAUACUAUGAAAGAAUAUAAGGACAAAAAUCAGUAUUUUAUUAUAUAGUAAGCACAUAAGCCUUAAAGGGCAGGGAUGUCUGCUGAAGAGCACCUGCAAUGCAGAAGUAGGUGACUGACAUGGCACCAGGUUCUCAGUGGACUGUUCUGCUGCCUGUCACAGUCAUCACUAGAGUCAAAAUAUUCUGUUCCUAAAUGUGGCAUGAUGCCAAUACACCCAUUUCUGAUUAAUGUGCUUUGAUGUUUCGACAUGUAUUUAAUAAAUAAAAGUUGGGCUUUUUUUGACAAAGAAG